GGGGGUGACUUGGUUUCGACGGAGGUAAUUGCGAUACAGGUUGCAUGUCGAGGUCUCCGCAGGCCUCGUAAAAUAGGCGGAACAAUUAUAAUUGCUGAUCAAGAAUUAGCAUUAGCUGCUUAGCACAGCUACGCUUGGUUGAUCUGCCUCCCGUCAGAGAGGCUAAAGCGUCGCAAUACGGGAUAGCGGUCUGGUUGUUCUCAAGGGACAUUCCGCGAACAUAAACUUGAGAUAGCCAUCUUUGAAUCUUGCACAGGGGAGUCUUAGAGGCAAAACAUAAAGCCUGUGAUAAGCAUGUAGUAGCCUUUAUCAAUAUACUUUCGGACGCGGGUUCAAUUCCCGCCACCUCCAUCA
rnacentral:tmRNA from 1 species